UUAUUUGCCUUCCUUGGCCAACUGUUGACCUGUGAUUAAGAAAAAGAACAAUACUUGCAUGGAUCAGGAUCUAUAUAAAUUACUGAGUGCACAAGAGCCCAUAUAUAUAUAAAUUGAUCCCUUCUGCUUCAGAAGAUUCAUAACAGAAGACCAGAUUUCAAGAACCCAAAAAAAAUGGCAGGUUUGUUCGACAAGCAGGCUGCGGUUUAUGCACAUGCCAGGCCAACCUUUCCAAGUCAAUGGUU
rnacentral:misc_RNA from 1 species